UACGUAGGGUGCGAGCGUUGUCCGGAAUUACUGGGCGUAAAGAGCUCGUAGGUGGUUUGUCGCGUUGUUCGUGAAAACUCACAGCUCAACUGUGGGCGUGCGGGCGAUACGGGCAGACUGGAGUACUGCAGGGGAGACUGGAAUUCUCGGUGUAGCGGUGAAAUGCGUAGAUAUCGAGAGGAACACCUGCGGCGAAGGCGGGUUGCUGGGCUGACACUGACGCUGAUGCGCGAAGGCCAGGGGAGCGAACGGG
rnacentral:rRNA from 1 species